rnacentral:rRNA from 1 species
AUUGAACGCUGGCGGAAUGCUUUACAUAUGCAAGUCGAACGGCAGCACGGGGGCAGCCCUGGUGGCGAGUGGCGAACGGGUGAGUAAUACAUCGGAACGUGCCCGGUCGUGGGGGAUAACGUAGCGAAAGUUACGCUAAUACCGCAUACGAUCUGAGGAUGAAAGCGGGGGACCUUCGGGCCUCGCGCGAUCGGAGCGGCCGAUGUCAGAUUAGGUAGUUGGUGGGGUAAAGGCCUACCAAGCCGACGAUCUGUAGCUGGUCUGAGAGGACGACCAGCCACACUGGGACUGAGACACGGCCCAGACUCCUACGGGAGGCAGCAGUGGGGAAUUUUGGACAAUGGGCGCAAGCCUGAUCCAGCCAUUCCGCGUGCAGGACGAAGGCCUUCGGGUUGUAAACUGCUUUUGUACGGAACGAAAAGGCUCUGGCUAAUACCUGGGGCUCAUGACGGUACCGUAAGAAUAAGCACCGGCUAACUACGUG